UACGUAGGGGGCGAGCGUUGUCCGAAGUUACUGGGCGUAAAGCGCGCGUAGGCGGGCAAUUAAGUGAGAAGUGAAAGGCUGGGGCUCAACCUCAUGCAGUGCUUCUCAUACUGGUUUUCUUGAGGGCGGUAGAGAAAAGUGAAAUGGCUGGUGUAGCGGUGAAAUGCGUAGAUAUCAGUCGGAACACCGGUGGCGAAGGCGGCUUUUUGGGCCGUUCCUGACGCUGAGGCGCGAAAGCCAGGGGAGCGAACGGG
rnacentral:rRNA from 1 species